rnacentral:rRNA from 1 species
AUGAACGCUGGCGGCGUGCCUAAUACAUGCAAGUCGAGCGAACGGACGAGAAGCUUGCUUCUCUGAUGUUAGCGGCGGACGGGUGAGUAACACGUGGAUAACCUACCUAUAAGACUGGGAUAACUUCGGGAAACCGGAGCUAAUACCGGAUGAUAUUUUGAACCGCAUGGUUCAAAAGUGAAAGACGGUCUUGCUGUCACUUAUAGAUGGAUCCGCGCUGCAUUAGCUAGUUGGUAAGGUAACGGCUUACCAAGGCAACGAUGCAUAGCCGACCUGAGAGGGGGAGUGGGCACCAGUGAAAUGAGACACGGUACAGAACCCUACGGGAGGCAGCAGUGGGGAAUAUUGGAGAAUGGGGGGAAGCCCGAUGGAGACAACCCGGGGGGGGGAAGAAGGGUUUAGGGUUGUAAAAACAUUUUGUUGGGGAAAAAAAAAAGUGGGAAAAAACGGUGCGAUUCUGAAGGGAACCAAAGAAAAAGCCCAGGCUAAACUAGGG